rnacentral:rRNA from 1 species
GAUGAACGCUGGCGGCGUGCGUAACACAUGCAAGUUGAACGACGGUGUCAUGAAGUGGUAACACGGAAUGGCAUACGGAGUAGCGGACGGGUGAGUACAACAUGAGAAGCUGUCCUUCAGUGGGGGACAACGUCUGGAAGCGGACGCUAAUACCCCAUAGGCCGAGAGGUUAAAGCAGAGAUGCGCUGGAGGAGGUGCUCGUGCCCUAUCAGCUAGUUGGUGAGGUAAUGGCUCACCAAGGCGACGACGGGUAGCCGGCCUGAGAGGGUGACCGGCCACACUGGAACUGAGACACGGUCCAGACUCCUACGGGAGGCAGCAGUGGGGAAUAUUGGGCAAUGGGAGAAAUCCUGACCCAGCGACGCCGCGUGAACGAAGACGGCCUUCGGGUUGUAAAGUUCUUUUAUGUGGGAAGAAUUAAGUGACGGUACCACAUGAAUAAGCCCCGGCUAACUACGUGCCAGCAGCCGCGGUAAUACGUAGGGGGCGAGCGUUGUCCGGAAUUACUGGGCGUAAAGGGCACGCAGGCUGUGCUUCAAGUCAGCUGUAAAAGGAUGCGGCUUAACCGUGUUAUGCAGUUGAGACUGGGGUGCUGGAGUACCGGAGAGGCAAGUGGAAUUCCCAGUGUAGCGGUGAAAUGCGUAGAUAUUGGGAAGAACAUCGGUGGCGAAGGCGACUUGCUGGACGGUAACUGACGCUGAGGUGCGAAAGCCAGGGUAGCGAACGGGAUUAGAUACCCCGGUAGUCC